rnacentral:rRNA from 1 species
GGGAAAGGAAAGAAACAUGAGGAUGUGGACGAACUCCUCAAAUGACUCGAUCUGCAUGAAGAUGAAGGGGAUAACUUCAUGUGGGAGGAUGAUCUGGAUGUACCAAAGAUUCAAGCAAAGUGGCUAGCUAUUCCUAGGGUUCAUACCCGUAAAAGUUUCAGCCCGUCCGCCUUAUAUGUGGAUAUGCGAUCUAUGUGGAACCCCGCAAAAGACGUGCGUUGGAGGAUGAUUGAGAACAAUCUAUUUACAGUGCAAUUUGGUUGUUUAGGAGAUUGGAACAUGGCUAUGGUUAAGGGGUCGUGGUUGUUCAGGAAUGAAGCGGUGAUCAUGGUGGAAUACGAUGGAUUCAUGAACCCUAAAUCAAUUGACCUUGAUAGGGUUGCGAUAUGGGCAAGGAUUUUGAAACUGCCGGACAACUACCUGCAUGAAGCUGUGAUAAAAGGAAUGUGCAGGAAGGUAUGA